GACGAACGCUGGCGGCGUGCCUAACACAUGCAAGUCGAACGGAACUGUUUUGAAAGAUUUCUUCGGAAUGAAUUUGAUUUAGUUUAGUGGCGGACGGGUGAGUAACGCGUGAGUAACCUGCCUUCAAGAGGGGAAUAACAUUCUGAAAAGAAUGCUAAUACCGCAUGACAUAUCGGAACCACAUGGUUUUGAUAUCAAAGAUUUUAUCGCUUGAAGAUGGACUCGCGUCCGAUUAGUUAGUUGGUGGGGUAACGGCUCACCAAGACCGCGAUCGGUAGCCGGACUGAGAGGUUGAACGGCCACAUUGGGACUGAGACACGGCCCAGACUCCUACGGGAGGCAGCAGUGGGGGAUAUUGCGCAAUGGGGGCAACCCUGACGCAGCAACGCCGCGUGAAGGAUGAAGGUUUUCGGAUUGUAAACUUCUUUUAUUAAGGACGAAAAAUGACGGUACUUAAUGAAUAAGCUCCGGCUAACUACGUG
rnacentral:rRNA from 1 species